UGGGGAAUAUUGCACAAUGGGCGCAAGCCUGAUGCAGCCAUGCCGCGUGUGUGAAGAAGGCCUUCGGGUUGUAAAGCACUUUCAGCGAGGAGGAAGGUGGUGAACUUAAUACGUUCAUCAAUUGACGUUACUCGCAGAAGAAGCACCGGCUAACUCCGUGCCAGCAGCCGUGGUAAUACGGAGGGUGCAAGCGUUAAUCGGAAUUACUGGGCGUAAAGCGCACGCAGGCGGUUUGUUAAGUCAGAUGUGAAAUCCCCGGGCUCAACCUGGGAACUGCAUUUGAAACUGGCAAGCUAGAGUCUCGUAGAGGGGGGUAGAAUUCCAGGUGUAGCGGUGAAAUGCGUAGAGAUCUGGAGGAAUACCGGUGGCGAAGGCGGCCCCCUGGACGAAGACUGACGCUCAGGUGCGAAAGCGUGGGGAGCAAACAGGAUUAGAUACCCUGGUAGUCCACGCUGUAAACGAUGUCGAUUUUGGAGGUUGUGCCCCUUGAGGCGUGGCUUCCGGAGCUAACGCGUUAAAUCGACCGCCUGGGGAGUACGGCCGCAAGGUUAAAACUCAAAUGAAUU
rnacentral:rRNA from 1 species